GUGCUUGCUUUGGCAGCACAUAUACUAAAAUUGGAACCUUGUAGAGAUUAGGAUGGCCCCUUUGCAAGGAUGACAUGCAAAUUUGUGAAGCAUUCCAUAUUUAA